GGCCGGUUAGCUCAGUCAGUUAGAGCGUGGUGCUGAUAAUACCAAGGUUGCGGGUUUGAUCCCCACUCGGUCC
rnacentral:tRNA from 1 species